rnacentral:rRNA from 1 species
AUUGAACGCUGGCGGCAGGCCUAACACAUGCAAGUCGAAUGGUAACAGGAAACAGCUUGCUGUUUCGCUGACGAGUGGCGGACGGGUGAGUAAUGUCUGGGAAACUGCCUGAUGGAGGGGGAUAACUACUGGAAACGGUAGCUAAUACCGCAUAACGUCGCAAGACCAAAGAGGGGGACCUUCGGGCCUCUUGCCAUCAGAUGUGCCCAGAUGGGAUUAGCUAGUAGGUGGGGUAACGGCUCACCUAGGCGACGAUCCCUAGCUGGUCUGAGAGGAUGACCAGCCACACUGGAACUGAGACACGGUCCAGACUCCUACGGGAGGCAGCAGUGGGGAAUAUUGCACAAUGGGCGCAAGCCUGAUGCAGCCAUGCCGCGUGUAUGAAGAAGGCCUUCGGGUUGUAAAGUACUUUCAGCGGGGAGGAAGGGAGUAAAGUUAAUACCUUUGCUCAUUGACGUUACCCGCAGAAGAAGCACCGGCCAACUCCGU